UACUUGUUUCUCCCACAUGAAGCGGUACGCUAUAAUGCCGUUCAAACUCAGCCUAGAAUUAUUAUUAUUAUUAUUAUUUAGACCAUCGAGAUCCUUCCGGUCCGCGAAGCCCCGCCCACUCUACCACGUGUUUGUUGUGUUUAUGGGCGCAUUGAGAAGCGCGUGCAGGUUUUAUUUCUCUACUUCUGCAAAAAUCACAAUGACCAACUUCAGAUUUAUAGAUAUUGGCAUCAAUCUAACAGACCCGAUGUUCAGAGGAAUCUAUAGAGGAACUCAGAAACAUGAAGAUGAUUUUCCUCAGGUCAUCGAGAGAGCGCUGAAGGUCGGCGUGCAGAAGUUCAUCAUCACUGGAGGAAGCCUGGAGGACAGCAGAGAGGCGCUCGGACUCGCACAGACCCGAGAGGAGUUCUUCAGUACGGUGGGCUGUCACCCGACCCGCUGCGGGGAGUUCGAUCAGCUGGGCUCGGAUCAGUACCUGUCGUCUCUGGUGGAUCUGAGCGUCAGGAACAGAGAGAAGGUGGUCGCUGUGGGAGAGUGUGGCCUCGACUUUGACAGGUUGGAAUUUUGUCCCAGAGAAACUCAGCUCAAAUACUUCGAGCGGCAGUUUGAUCUGGCGGAAGAGACGCGAUUACCCAUGUUCCUCCACUGCAGGAACUCACACCCACAAUUCCUUGACAUCAUGAAGAGGAACAGAGAUCGGUGUGCCGGUGGAGUGGUUCACUCGUUUGACGGCACGCAGCAGGACGCGGCGGCUCUGAUAGAUCUGGAUCUGUACAUCGGUAUCAACGGCUGCUCUUUGAAAACAGCAGAGAACCUGGAGGUGAUGAAGUCAAUCCCAUCGGACAGACUGAUGAUCGAAACAGGUGUUCGUGUCACCAGUUUCAUGCGGUCGUUCUCUCUGCAGACGCGCCGUGGUGCAGCAUUAAAAACACCCACGCAGGAGCGAAGAUGAUCCGAAGCACAUUUCCCACGAAGAAGAAGUGGGAGACGGGACACUGCGUGAAGGACCGCAAUGAGCCCUGCCACAUCAUACAGGUGCUGGAGGUGAUGGCGGCGGCGAGGGACGAAGAUCCACUGGACCUGACUGAAACCAUCUACAACAACACCAUGAGACUGUUCUUCAAGAGCAAAUCCUGAGAGGGACUUUUAUUUUCAUAUGUGUGUGUGUGUGUGUUGUUCAAAAGAUGCACAAUAAAAGUGACGAGAACAAUG